CGGACGCGCGCUCUCGGUAGCGGGGGCGCGCACCGGAGAGACGAGGCUGGCGAGAGCGAUUCCGGCCGCUGCUGAACAGGACGAUACUAACAUGAGCUCCAGGAAAGUGCUGGCCAUUCAGGCCCGAAAGAGGAGGCCGAAAGGGAAGAAGGAGAAGGCGCAUCAUAAAAAGCUCACCAUGCAGCCACCUGCAGAGCUACAGCAUCGGAGGAGAACGCAGCUCCGGACAGCUUCCAGGCAAGCCCGCAGGCGCCCGGCCAGACUACAGGGUGAGCCAAGGACACCCUGGCUGACCUAAGCACCCCCCCCCCGGAUCUCCCGUCCAUGGUUGGCAGUAAAAUAGCCUGGACUCGAACCGGUGAUGUCCAGGCUAUAGGGAGCAUCCAGCAUUCUACGCGGAGCACCUUUACAGGAUGCACUAUUCGGGAUCCCCAGUGAAAAACUUUGACCAUUGUAAUUGCCUCAGGUCCAAUCCUGGCCAGCCUUGCACAGCACAGCACGGGCUCUCUGAUUUGAAGCUGCCAGUGCGGCUCUCAGAGGGAGGGACAGAGCCAUUGCACUCUCUCAUUUGCUACUUGUACAAUUGUUUUUCACCUCAGUCAUGUUGCUUUGUCCUUGGAUCCACACCUUGCUUGAGGUUUGAAUGCUUGCAGGCUGCACAGAGGAAGGUGGAGGUUCUGUGUCCUUUCACUGGUUCGUGGGCUCUUUUAUUUGAAAAGUUAAACCCGAGCUCGGUACUAUACAGGUUUAUUUUGUUUGCUGUUGCUGGUUAAUGAACUGCUUUAGCCCCGAUGAUUAACAAUUCGAGGAUUCUUUACAAUAUUAUUUUUAGUAACAAGCCUAUUUUAAAGUGCCGUGUUUGUUUGAGUCACAAGAGAAGGCCACAAUUAUUUUAAUAUGAAAAGGAUAAAAGCAGGCACUCUUAUUUACAAAAUUGGGAAUUGCCUUAUGUUUGUUUCAUGCUCCAAAUUCUGAGACGAAAAUAGCAAUUCUGAAUGUUAUAAAUAGCUUAUAAUUUGACCAGACAUCGACCCCUGUUUGAGGUGCUGUUCUCAAGACAGCAGGAGGCAUGGUUUAUUCAUUUCACUGAAACGUUGCUGGAAUGCUCUUCCCGCUGCGCUUGUGUGACACCUUGUGGAUGCUGCAGUAUUGCACUUUGUAUCAGAGCUUGGGGAAUGUUCGAAGCCCUGUCUGCAGAGAAGCGUUUGUCUUGAAUACCUCUGUGCUUUCACCUCUGAGACGGCAUCCGUUACAAUUACAUGUACAGCUGUGCUUCAGCAAUUGCAAUUCAAAUUACUAUUGCUCCUAAAAAACCUGAGCAGCUGCACACAUUGACAUUCUCACUGUCUAAUUCUGAAUAAGCAGCAGCACACAAAUACACACACACAUGUAGAGGGCUUUCAAAUAAAUGGGGUCACUGAAAGUGGUUUUGAAUGCAAGAAUAAUGAUCGAGUCACAAAUGAAUGUGUAACUGAACUGUACUGGAUCAGUUCUAUAGUGUGAUUACAAUGCCACUUGCACAGGGCUGACAGGGUCAGCUACAAUGACAGUGACAUUGGAACUGCAAUUCAUUCUGAAGUGCGCAGUUCCAACUGUAACGGAUCCCAGGGCUGGCUGUCAGUGUGACCCUACGAGUCUCGCUGGGAUCUGAACCCAGUCCCGUGUCAUGCCAGCUCUGCUGUGUGUGAGUCUCGCUGGGAUCUGAACCCAGUCCCGUGUCAUGCCAGCUCUGCUGUGUGUGAGUCUCGCUGGGAUCUGAACCCAGUCCCGUGUCAUGCCAGCUCUGCUGUGUGUGAGUCUCGCUGGGAUCUGAACCCAGUCCCGUGUCAUGCCAGCUCUGCUGUGUGUGAGUCUCGCUGGGAUCUGAACCCAGUCCCGUGUCAUGCCAGCUCUGCUGUGUGUGAGUCUCGCUGGGAUCACUGCUCUCCGCUGUGUAUUUGGACUCUACUGUAAAGCCGAGUGAGCUCACCAUCUAAAAACAGACUUCAUUCUAGGAUUCAUACAUUAUUUGAAUGCUUUCCAAAAAGAUGGUAAUGGCAGUAUAACAUUAUGCUUGCCAGAUUGCUGCUGCGUACUGUACUGUAGAAGGCUGAUUUGGUGCAACAGUCAGGUUUUAAUUCUCAGCAACCCAACCCAGAAACGACCAGCUUCCCGUGCUGUAGCUGUGCAGAGCUGAAGCCCGCGUACUGUCACGUGGCUCCUGUUUACAAAGAUUACGACACUGCAGUCUUUCACGCUGACUGCCACGGCAGCCGUGGUUUCCACUGGGGCCUCGUCAGCGUUUCUAUCAGGCUGUGUCCCACGAACACAAUCCCGUUCAGGACCAUGAAAACUCCCAGCAAACAACAACAUUGAAUUCAUUUGCAGGCAGAACCAGAAAACAAACCGUGAGCAGCUCCCUCCUAUCAGUCGGCUUGUUUCAUUAUUUAGUUUCAAGGAUG